rnacentral:rRNA from 1 species
CGGUAGCACAGAGAGCUUGCUCUGCGGGUGACGAGCGGCGGACGGGUGAGUAAUGUCUGGGAAACUGCCUGAUGGAGGGGGAUAACUACUGGAAACGGUAGCUAAUACCGCAUAACGUCGCAAGACCAAAGUGGGGGACCUUCGGGCCUCAUGCCAUCAGAUGUGCCCAGAUGGGAUUAGCUAGUAGGUGGGGUAACGGCUCACCUAGGCGACGAUCCCUAGCUGGUCUGAGAGGAUGACCAGCCACACUGGAACUGAGACACGGUCCAGACUCCUACGGGAGGCAGCAGUGGGGAAUAUUGCACAAUGGGCGCAAGCCUGAUGCAGCCAUGCCGCGUGUAUGAAGAAGGCCUUCGGGUUGUAAAGUACUUUCAGCGGGGAGGAAGGCGAUAAGGUUAAUAACCUUGUCGAUUGACGUUACCCGCAGAAGAAGCACCGGCUAACUCCGUGCCAGCAGCCGCGGUAAUACGGAGGGUGCAAGCGUUAAUCGGAAUUACUGGGCGUAAAGCGCACGCAGGCGGUCUGUCAAGUCGGAUGUGAAAUCCCCGGGCUCAACCUGGGAACUGCAUUCGAAACUGGCAGGCUAGAGUCUUGUAGAGGGGGGUAGAAUUCCAGGUGUAGCGGUGAAAUGCGUAGAGAUCUGGAGGAAUACCGGUGGCGAAGGCGGCCCCCUGGACAAAGACUGACGCUCAGGUGCGAAAGCGUGGGGAGCAAACAGGAUUAGAUACCCUGGUAGUCCACGCCGUAAACGAUGUCGAUUUGGAGGUUGUGCCCUUGAGGCGUGGCUUCCGGAGCUAACGCGUUAAAUCGACCGCCUGGGGAGUACGGCCGCAAGGUUAAAACUCAAAUGAAUUGACGGGGGCCCGCACAAGCGGUGGAGCAUGUGGUUUAAUUCGAUGCAACGCGAAGAACCUUACCUGGUCUUGACAUCCACAGAACUUAGCAGAGAUGCUUUGGUGCCUUCGGGAACUGUGAGACAGGUGCUGCAUGGCUGUCGUCAGCUCGUGUUGUGAAAUGUUGGGUUA